GAUAGCCCCCUGGUGGGGUCUGAAGGUCUGAGAGCAAACAGGUCCGACUGCUCGCACCUGUGCGGGUAAAGAACCCCUUCCCUUUGCUCUCUCGUUCUGUCCUCCGCAGUCUGUUCCCAAAGUCUGCGGCAAUUAAGAGUUCGCCCGGGGCGAAUCCGCACAGGAUGUGGACUCUGUUGGGACCCUUUCCAGACACAGGCUCUCAGCCGCCUCACUUCUUUCUCCUUCCGCCCCUCUGCCUCUGUUCCCCGGGGAUCCAGCUGCCAUCUUGACCUGCGGACAAUGCGUUCCCGCGCGUCUGAGGGGGUGAGUCUUCCCUCUCCUUGUUCCGGUUCGGUCUGGCCACGGUGGUCUCCGGCUAUCCCUGCUGCCAAGGGACGCCCCAACAGGAAGUUCCAUGCCUUUUGCCAGGACCCUCUCGGUCGGACACCCCAAAAAGGUCUGUAGUCCCGAAACUGCCGCGACUCCUGUCUGGGGUGGGACGCCACCAGAAGAGUCCGUCACCUCCUAUUAGGUGCAGUCCUUUAUCAGGUCAGCAGGCCACCCUGACUGAAAUCGAGACCUGCGUCAGAGCUGCAUUACCUUCGGCGGGAGGUCCCUUUGGGAGUCGGCGGCCCGUCCUUCCCACCUCCUCGCUCUUGGGCUGUCUUCUUUAACACAUUUGGCUCCCAAAGCCUGAUGUUUCCUGGCCUCAGGACAAAUGCCCAGAUCCAGAGGAAUCGUGUUGGAAGCUGUGAAUAUAGACCUGUAAGGUUGCAUUUCAUAUGGAUGUGGGUAUGAUGUGCUGCAGCAAGAUGACAUCUUGAUUAGGUCCGAUGGAUGAGUAAGAGAUUUGUGUGAAGGUGAUUUCAGAGAAGGGUUGUUGGAUGAGCAUCGGGUGACACUGACAAGGAUGCACAGGGAAUAGAGGAAUCAAGCCAAAAGGUGGAGUGAAAUCUUUUGCAUUAGCUAUUGAGCAACAUGACCUGUUAGGAAAGUGAGUGGACUCAAGUACGUUGCUGGAUUCAUGCUCAUUACAUCUACCAGAUUUUGAAACUUUGUGGGGAACAUGCAUUUUGUAAACUGUCAGAGAGCUCAAUCAUCUGCGUUGUUUUACGAUGAAAGAAACAAAUACCCAACAAUCUCUGUCAAAACAUGAGAAGGUCACACCAGAAGAAUGGGAUGAAUCAGAAGUAGACUCAUUAUCAUUAAAUCUUCAAUCACUGAGCUUGUACCAGCUCAGUUUCUUGAUUACAUUGCUAUAAUCAACUCCUGAUACCACCUUACAAAAGCCGAAGGAACUCUUCCUGAUGGAAGAUAAUAUUAUCUACUGCCCUUAUAAUUCUUUUGUGGGUCAUGUCUGGAAAAUAAUAGAGUAUUACUAGGCAUUCAAGGAGGAAAGAAGACAUAUUGAUAAUAAAAACAAAGCACACACUAGAAGCAGACCUAUAUAUGAUCCAGAUAUUGGAGCUGGCAGACAAGAAUUGUGACUGAAAUAUCAAAAAUUAAGAAAUAUAUGAGGAAAAAAAUCAAUAAAAAUAUAUAACUUCAGUAAAAUAGAAAUCUAUACAAAUAAUAAAAUGGAAAGUCCAUAGCUGGAAAAUAUUACAUAGAACUAAAGAAUUCAGAAGAUGAAUUUAAUAACAGAUUGUACAAAGCAGAACGCAGGAUGAGAUAAUUCAAAAAUAGGUCAGUAGAAAAUACUAGUUGCAGAGAGAAAAAAUAAAAAGUAAAAUUAAAAAAUAAAACAUUAUGAGACACAUGGGGAUACUAAAAAGUCUUAAUAUAAUUAUAAUUGGAAUCCCAGAAAGAGAUGGGAAAACAUGUAUCAGAGGCAAAAUUCAGAGAGCAAAUAAUUGACAAUUUUCAAGAUUUGAACAAGAUACAAAUUCAGCCAUUCAAAAAGCUUACCAAGUC